rnacentral:rRNA from 1 species
UUUUUUAAUUGAAAACUUGUAUGAAUGGUUGAAUGAGAUAUAAGCUGUUUCAUAAAAAUAUUUUAUAGAAUUUUAUUUUUUAGUUAAAAAGCUAAAAUAAAAUUAAAAGACGAGAAGACCCUAUAAAGUUUUAUAUUUUUUAUUAGUUUAUUUAUUUAAUUUUAUAUGAAUUUAUUAAUAAAAGGUAUUUUAUUGGGGUGAUAAUAAAAUUUAAAAAACUUUUAUUUUUAUAAACAUAAAUUUAUGAUUGGAUGAUCCUUUUUUAAAGAUUAAAAAUUUAAAUUACUUUAGGGAUAACAGCGUAAUUUUUUUUUUAAGUUCAAAUUUAUAAAAAAGUUUGC